rnacentral:rRNA from 1 species
AGUGAACGCUGGCGGUAGGCCUAACACAUGCAAGUCGAACGGCAGCACAGUAAGGGCUUGCUCUUACGGGUGGCGAGUGGCGGACGGGUGAGGAAUACAUCGGAAUCUACUUUUUCGUGGGGGAUAACGUAGGGAAACUUACGCUAAUACCGCAUACGACCUACGGGUGAAAGCAGGGGAUCUUCGGACCUUGCGCGAUUGAAUGAGCCGAUGUCGGAUUAGCUAGUUGGCGGGGUAAAGGCCCACCAGGGCGACGAUCCGUAGCUGGUCUGAGAGGAUGAUCGGCCACACUGGAACUGAGACACGGUCCAGACUCCUACGGGAGGCAGCAGUGGGGAAUAUGGGACAAUGGGCGAAAGCCUGAUCCAGCCAUACCGCGUGGGUGAAGAAGGCCUUCGGGUUGUAAAGCCCUUUUGUUGGGAAAGAAAAGCAGCAGGUUAAUACCCCGCUGUUCUGACGGUACCCAAAGAAUAAGCACCGGCUAACUUC